rnacentral:rRNA from 1 species
CUCACGCGUUGGGACUCUCCCAUAUGGUCGACCUGCAGGCGGCCGCGAAUUCACUAGUGAUUUACGGUUACCUUGUUACGACUUCACCCCAAUCAUCUAUCCCACCUUAGGCGGCUGGCUCCAAAAGGUUACCUCACCGACUUCGGGUGUUACAAACUCUCGUGGUGUGACGGGCGGUGUGUACAAGGCCCGGGAACGUAUUCACCGCGGCGUGCUGAUCCGCGAUUACUAGCGAUUCCGACUUCAUGUAGGCGAGUUGCAGCCUACAAUCCGAACUGAGAUUGGCUUUAAGAGGUUAGCUUGCCGUCACCGACUCGCAACUCGUUGUACCAACCAUUGUAGCACGUGUGUAGCCCAGGUCAUAAGGGGCAUGAUGAUUUGACGUCAUCCCCACCUUCCUCCGGUUUAUUACCGGCAGUCUCGCUAGAGUGCCCAACUGAAUGAUGGCAACUAACAAUAGGGGUUGCGCUCGUUGCGGGACUUAACCCAACAUCUCACGACACGAGCUGACGACAACCAUGCACCACCUGUCACCGAUGUACCGAAGUAACUUUCUAUCUCUAGAAAUAGCAUCGGGAUGUCAAGACCUGGUAAGGUUCUUCGCGUUGCUUCGAAUUAAACCACAUGCUCCACCGCUUGUGCGGGCCCCCGUCAAUUCCUUUGAGCUUCAACCUUGCGGUCGUACUCCCCAGGCGGAGUGCUUAAUGCGUUAGCUGCGGCACUGAAUCCCGGAAAGGAUCCAACACCUAGCACUCAUCGUUUACGGCGUGGACUACCAGGGUAUCUAAUCCUGUUCGCUCCCCACGCUUUCGAGCCUCAGCGUCAGUUACAGACCAGAGAGCCGCUUUCGCCACCGGUGUUCCUCCAUAUAUCUACGCAUUUCACCGCUACACAUGGAAUUCCACUCUCCCUUCUGCACUCAAGUUUGACAGUUUCCAAAGCGAACUAUGGUUGAGCCACAGCCUUUAACUUCAGACUUAUCAAACCGCCUGCGCUCGCUUUACGCCCAAUAAAUCCGGACAACGCUCGGGACCUACGUAUUACCGCGGCUGCUGGCACGUAGUUAGCCGUCCCUUUCUGGUAAGCUACCGUCACAGUGUGAGUUUUCCACUCUCACACUCGUUCUUGACUUACAACAGAGCUUUACGAUCCGAAAACCUUCUUCACUCACGCGGCGUUGCUCGGUCAGGGUUGCCCCCAUUGCCGAAGAUUCCCUACUGCUGCCUCCCGUAGGAGUCUGGGCCGUGUCUCAGUCCCAGUGUGGCCGAUCACCCUCUCAGGUCGGCUAUGUAUCGUCGCCUAGGUGAGCCGUUACCUCACCUACUAGCUAAUACAACGCAGGUCCAUCUUGUAGUGGAGCAAUUGCCCCUUUCAAAUAAAUGACAUGUGUCAUCCAUUGUUAUGCGGUAUUAGCUAUCGUUUCCAAUAGUUAUCCCCCGCUACAAGGCAGGUUACCUACGCGUUACUCACCCGUUCGCAACUCAUCCAAGAAGAGCAAGCUCCUCUCUUCAGCGUUCUACUUGCAUGUAUUAGGCACGCCGCCAGCGUUCGUCCUGAGCCAUGAUCAAACUCUAAUCGAAUUCCCGCGGCCGCCAUGGCGG